ACAGGAAGCCGGUGCGAAUCCGGCACGGUCCCGCCACUGUGACCGGGGAGCGCCCCUCCACAUGCCACUGCGCUGUGCGCGGGAAGGCGGAGGGAACGUCGAUCCGGGAGUCAGGACACUG
rnacentral:ncRNA from 2 species